CAAAGUCGUUGACCCCAGGUGUCAAGAAAAUCCUCGUUUGGCAUAACCCGCCCGGUGACCGUACCGCAAACCGACACAGGUAGGUGGGGUGAGAAUCCUAAGGCCCAUGUGAGAACACUCGUUCAGGAACUCGGCAAACUAACCCCGUAACUUCGGGAGAAGGGGUGCCACGGUAGGGUGUCAAAGCCCGAUGUGGUCGCAGAGAAAUGUCCCAGGCGACUGUUUACUAAAAACACAGGUCUCCGCAAAGUCGCAAGACGACGUAUGGGGGCUGACGCCUGCCCAAUGCUGGAAGGUUAAGGGGAGAGGUUAGCUGCAAGGCGAAGCUUUGAACCGAAGCCCCAGUGAAUGGCGGCCGUAACGAUAACGGUCCUAAGGUAGCGAAAUUCCUUGUCGGGUAAGUUCCGACCUGCACGAAUGGCGUAACGAUCUGGGAACUGUCUUAACGAGUGGCACAGCGAACUUGUAGUACCGGUGAAGAUGCCGGUUACCCGCAUCUAGACGGAAAGACCCCGUGCACCUUGACUAUAACUUGGUAGUGACGCUGGGCGUAGCAUGCGCAGGAUAGGUGGGAGGCUUUGAAGCUGGACUUCCGGGUUCGGUGGAGCCAACGGUGAGAUACCACCCUUGUUGCGUCCGGUGUCUAACCUGCAACCGUGAAUCCGGUUGGGGGACACUACCAGGCGGGUAGUUUGACUGGGGCGGUCGCCUCACAAAUUGUAACGGAGGCUCUCGAAGGUUGGCUCAGGGUGUUUGGAAAUCACCUGCAGAGCGUAAAGGCAUAAGCCAGCCUGACUGCGAGACAUACAAGUCGAGCAGACACGAAAGUGGGACUUAGUGAUCCGGCGGUUCCGUAUGGAAGGGCCGUCGCUCAAAGGAUAAAAGGUACGCCGGGGAUAACAGGCUGAUCCUGGCCAAGAGCUCAUAUCGACGCCAGGGUUUGGCACCUCGAUGUCGGCUCAUCACAUCCUGGGGCUGAAGAAGGUCCCAAGGGUUCGGCUGUUCGCCGAUUAAAGUGGUACGUGAGCUGGGUUUAGAACGUCGCGAGACAGUUCGGUCCCUAUCUGGUGUGGGCGCAGGAGUAUUGACGGAAUCUGACCCUAGUACGAGAGGACCGGGUUGGACCACCCUCUAGUGUACCAGUUGUCACGCCAGUGGCACCGCUGGGUAGCUAUGGUGGGCAGGGAUAACCGCUGAAUGCAUCUAAGCGGGAAGCCCGACCGAAGAUGAGUACUCCCCGUGAGACUCCUCGUAGACCACGAGGUUGAUAGGCUGGAAAUGUAAGGGUGUAUAUCCAAAGACCCUCAGUUGACCAGUACUAAUGGUCCCAAGGCUUGCC
rnacentral:rRNA from 1 species